rnacentral:lncRNA from 1 species
AGAAGGUGGAGGGCUCCCAUAAGUUCAAAGUCAAUAAUGCCUACAUAGGGAAUUCCAAGUUGGUCUGAGCAGGAGUAAUAUCUUGUCUCAAAAUAAGUCAAUAAAUUAACAAUAAAACCCAAACCAAACAACUACACACUUGCAGCAUGAUAUAGCUUUUAAUACAGGGGGUUAGAUGGUUCAGUGGCUAACAUGCUCUGCCUUUCCAAAGGACUCAAGUUUGGUUCUCAGCACCCAAGUCAGGUGGCUCAUAACUACGUAUAACUCCAGCUCCAGGGAUGCCUCUGACCUCUGAGAGCACCUGUACUAAUGUACACAUACCCACAUGUGUGUGUGUGCACUCUCUCUCUCACCUCUACACAUAAUUUACCAGAUUUUUUUCAGCAAUUUUAAAUACUUAUUAUUUAUUUUAUGUUAUGUGUGUGUUUUCUUGGUGAGUGUGUGUGUGUGUGUGUAUAUCAUGUACAUUUAGCAGUCUAUAGAGGCCAGAUUCCCUGGAACUGGAGUUACAGGUAGUUGUGAGGCACCAUGUAGGUGUUGGAAACCAAAGGAGACCCUUUGCAAGAGGAGCAAGUGUUAACUGCUGAGCUAUGGUUUUUGUCUGUUUGGUUUUUGAGACAGGAUUUCAGUAUGUAGGCCAGACUGGUCUGGAACUUACUAAGUAGACCAGCCUGGACUCAAAUUCAGAAUGUCUACCUCCCAGUACCUCCCAGUACCUCCCAGAUGCUGGAAUUAAAGGCAUGCAUCAUCAUACCCAAGGAUUUAACAUAUUCUUAAAUGAAUGGUGCCUCAUUCUAAGAAGGUACACAAAAAUCUUCAAAUUUAGUGUAUAUCUAUGACCCUGAUUUGAAAUCCUCAGAGCAAGAUAAAUUUAUGAAUUCAAAAUAGUUGAGUGUAGAAGAAGAUACAGUACAUAAUCUGUAGAAGUAAAAUUCUAGUUGGUAGAAAACUCAAUUUGGGACCCAAGAGAUUCCAUGAAAAGGAUAAGGCAGGGCUUUAGACAAUUACAAAAACAGUUAGAAAUACCAGCUGAAGUAGAGCAGUUACCAGAAAGUAAAUACAGAGAGGGGAUUACCUAACAAAACCAUCAUCUCGUGGAAGGAUGCAGGCAGCCAUGGUGAACAAGAGAAUACAUUCUCACCUACCCUUUCUUUCUUCAGUCUCCUUGUAUUCCCUAUUAGUCAAGUGGAAUUCAGAGAUGAGAAAAGUUCAAUAAGAUUCUGUAUUCAGAUCCACAUCUCAGGUAGAAGCAGGAUGUAAAGUAGAGUAACAUGGGAUUUGGCAAACAGCACAGAUGGGUUUCUAUUAUAAACAGCCCUCAAGUAUUUCCAGCUAUGACAACAAAAGUUUAUUUCUCACCUCUACUGAGUCAUUUAGUUCUACUCUCUUCUAGGGUUUUGAAGAAGCCCUCCAACAAACUUUGGAGAACUGGUUCAAAGCCAAACACCAGGCCAGAAAAUGAUGUACAUAUUGUUUUCUCUGGGCUGGAUGUGAUGGUUGUCAACUUGAUCAGAUCAGUCGUGAUAACCCUCAUGAAAAUGGAUCUAUUAACCUUCUCAUGUGGACAGAAGGAAUGCUCAGGAGCCACGCUCCCUGUCCCGAAGGGUAUGCUAGGGGUAAGUAGUUGCUGGAGGGAGAAGACUCCAGGCAUGCAACUCUGAGAUCCAUCACUGAUGGAGACAAGGGCUUUGGUGAAGCUGCACACUGAGUCACUGAUGCUCCUGGAACACUAUUAGCACAACUUGGAAGAAUAGCUCCUUCGGUCUAUCAUUUCCCUCUUUGUCUAGAGUGAAUGGAAAUAGGUCACCCAGGACAAGUCACACAACUCAUGUCACCAGCACUCAGGUACAUUCCCAGGUAGUUAACCACAAGGCUGACAGGAGUGGUAUGGCGAUAUGCUGGAAGGAGACAAGAAGCACAAAUAUACCAAGUCCAAGUCUCAUACCAACCCAGGUAAAAUGUUCCAAAUAAUUUGAGUGUCAAACUUCUAUUGAUUCAACUUUAGGUUGUCAAAGAUGAGUGUAUAUAUGACCUACCAAAUAGAAGCCAGAAAAUAAUAGUGGGCUCUUAAAUUUAGGCUGAUGAUUCGUGAACGUAUGUUUAUGACACAGAGGAAAUAAGUCAAAUGACCAAUAGUUGCUACUUCAGACAUUACUAAUCAUAUCAUUGGAGAGACAGAAAUAAACUGACAGCUUUUCAAUAAAUCCCAGUGUCUCCUAGUCUUAAUAAUACUUACUAUGCUAGAAGGUAGAGAAAAUACAAAGAAUAAGAGGUGUGCUUGACCUGAAGGCAGGGCAAGAAAAAACCCAGACUCUGAUAACUGCAAUUUCCUAAAAUGACUAAUUCUUCACCAUAAAAUUAGGGCAUGUUCAUACAUAGAAAAAGGGUACUGACAUCAGAGGUAGGCCUCCACAGGAGGAACUCUGAGCAAGGAAGGAAAAAACUUCAGACACAAUGACAAUAUUAAGGUCUUUCAAGGCUGGAUAAUGGUAAAUAAUUUUUGUUUGUUUAGCAUCAUUAAGGUUAAUAAAAAAAAUAAGAUAGUGAGAAACCAAAGGUUAGACAGCUAGUCAUUUGGCUAAAUGAUAAAUGAAAUUAACAGAUUACGAGAAGACCCAGGGCUACAUGAGACCCUAUCUUAUAAAGC